rnacentral:ncRNA from 1 species
UAUAAAGCUUUGAAGAGGACUAGUAAUAUUUAUAUCUUCAGAAGAGAGCUGUUAAAUCGGUGUAAAGCAGCGUUGAUAAAAUAUGAACUCACCUUAGAGCUUAUCUAUUGAAAAGAUAGAUACGGUUAAAACCGUUAUAUUUUUGAGUGAAACCUUUAUAAGGUUUAAUUAGAGUGGUACCGCGGAAUUUUGGCCUUUCGUCUCUUAA